GCUAGCAUGGUAUAGUGGUUUGAGUGUUGGGCUAUGACUCUGGAGGCCAGGGUUCAAAUCCCUGCUGUGGCA